CUCCCCAUUGCUUUUCUUAAACAUCAAUAAAUUGAUCAGAUCAGCAAACAAAAUUAAUUAAAUAAUCAUCUUUCAAUUACUUGCCUUAGACAUCAAUUGAUUAAUUGAUCCGAAUAGGUUAGCUUAGGUGAAUUAGAUUCGAGCCAUAAAGCCAAAUUAGGUCCUUAGGUUAAUCGAUUCUACGUAUGGGUGUUAAUCGAUUCAAUCAACAAUAAUUAUAUGAUCUUAAGCUCUAUUGACCUCAUCCUAAUCAACACUUGACUUAGUUUGAUCA
rnacentral:lncRNA from 1 species